GCUGCCACAGAACAGGGUAUUAAUGACAUAAAAAAUUUAUCAUUAACACUAAAUUUUAUCGAUAAUAGUUAUUAGUGAUAAAAUUAUCAUCACUGAUAUUUAGUCAUAAAUAAUAAUAUCGUUGAUAAUUUUUUAUGAUAGAAAAAUUUUUCAUCAUCAAUAAUCAAUAUUAUCGAUCAAAAAUUUUCAUUAUUAAAUUUUUUUUUUGAAAACUAUUUGUGAUGAAAAAUUUUUAUCCUA
rnacentral:lncRNA from 1 species